GUAGGUGAACCUGCGGAAGGAUCAUUAACACGUAUCCAACGUUAUCAACCAACUCGGUCUCCUGUGUUUUCAAAUUAUCGCCCAUCGAUGAUACUCGCGUAUCGUUCUUGGUCACCGCCGUAGACUACCUCUGGUGUCCGCUUAGGCCUCACUGCUGAAGUCAUGGGCAAACCCUAAACUUACCCCAAUAACCUUCCUUACACUAGUUGUCUAUUUGAUUGUUGUUUAGAGGUCGAAUGGUAAUACAAUCCACCUUUUCACACACGUUUACUUAUCUGAACGUUAAAAUACAACUCUUAGCAAUGGAUAUCUUGGUUCUC
rnacentral:misc_RNA from 1 species